GAGGAUGUAGCUCAGUGGUAGAGCACUUGCCUAGCAUACAGAAGGUCCUGGUGCAAUCCCCAGCAUCUCA
rnacentral:tRNA from 1 species